UUCUGAAUUCUUUCCCAGAGGCAGUGACAAAAAUCAAACAUCCGAUGUGUUCUUUACCUUUCAGUAAGCUCAGCCUCCCUGCUUGUGUCACAUCUCUAAACAUACGUACAUGCGUGAUUGAAACUGUCUAUUGAAAGCAAUAUUACAUUAACAUUAUCAAUACUGAAUUAGAGAAAAUAUCUAUCAAUGUCACCAAUUCCACCUGUCUCUUGAUGUAUGACUUUUUACCUGACAGGCUAAAUAACAAUAGAAAGUUCUUUUUAAAAAAUAGAAGAGUUGCUAUGCAGGGACUUUUUUGGAAUUAAGUGCCCCAGAGAACCUAGAAAUGUGCUUUAAAACUUUUUGUUUCACCUGGCAGAUCCAAAAAAAAUUUGGAAGCUUUUGGUUGAAUUCCCUCAUUACUUGAAGUUGUUUUAUGAAAAUUGAAUAUAUAUAUCUGUUAGGUUACCAAGACUUAUGGUUAGCUAUCUUAAUGGCUAGUGAUAUAAGACCUUGUAACAAACCCUACCAAUGGAACUGACAGGAUUUUACCAGGGAGGAUAUUGCAGUACCUGUAAGAGGAAGGGAUACAAAUUGGCACUUCAUACAUUUGUGAGAACAAUUGCCUUUAAUGUGUCUAUUUGGUUUUCAUAAUAUUGCAGGCCUCUGCUCUUGUAAGAAGUUAGCUGCAGAACCCACAUGUGAAUCCUUGUAGGACUCUGGAGAAGAUCAAAUGGGAGCUUAGAUGUGGAAGCUCUUUGGAAACCAAGAAACACUCUGAAAAUGAAAAGGGUAUCUUUUUUUCCUUUUCUCCCUUUACCAUAAAUUUCAUGAUGGCACUUAACAGAGCCAGUCGUUUUGGUAUUUAAAAAAUGUUUGGUGAAAUAAUUAGUUAUUGGUUGAAUGAAUGAAUUUAUAAGUGAAUACAUGAAUUAAACAAAGGUAUGGAGUAGGAAAGCACAUAAUAUGAGCAGAGAAUAAGGGAUUCUAUUUGGAAGCAUGC
rnacentral:lncRNA from 10 species